AUUGAACGCUGGCGGCAUGCCUUACACAUGCAAGUCGAACGGCAGCACGGGUGCUUGCACCUGGUGGCGAGUGGCGAACGGGUGAGUAAUACAUCGGAACAUGUCCUGUAGUGGGGGAUAGCCCGGCGAAAGCCGGAUUAAUACCGCCUACGAUCUACGGCUGAAAGCGGGGGACCUUCGGGCCUCGCGCUAUAGGGUUGGCCGAUGGCGGAUUAGCUAGUUGGUGGGGUAAAGGCCUACCAAGGCGACGAUCAGUAGCUGGUCUGAGAGGACGACCAGCCACACUGGGACUGAGACACGGCCCAGACUCCUACGGGAGGCAGCAGUGGGGAAUUUUGGACAAUGGGCGAAAGCCUGAUCCAGCAAUGCCGCGUGUGUGAAGAAGGCCUUCGGGUUGUAAAGCACUUUUGUCCGGAAAGAAAUCCUUGGCCCUAAUACGGUCGGGGGAUGACGGUACCGGAAGAAUAAGCACCGGCUAACUACGUG
rnacentral:rRNA from 1 species